ensembl:lncRNA
AUGCGGGAGGUGCGGCGGGGCUGGCCCGGGGGCGGCGCCCGCGGGGGCUGUUACGGCUACCUGGGCCUGUGCUUUCUGUUGCUAGGAGGGGGCGGCGCGGACCUGUGCCUGGGUCCUGCGUGCGACGGCGGCGGAGGGGACGCCGAGCCUCCGCAGCCCAAAGCCCCGUGCCUGCAGCCGGGGGCAGCCCGCUGCCCGGGGAGAGCCGGCCGGCCGUCGCGCUCCUUCCUGCACAGCGCCUCGGCAGGCCGCAGCCAAGUCCAGGUCAAGCAGCCAGUGCAGCCGGCCCCGGCCCCAGGCUCCUCUUCUGCUUCCUGGGGCCAGCCCCGGGUCGCCGCCGCAGACCCCAAGCCGCAGGCGCUGGAGCGAGUCGCCGCCAGGGGCGCCCUGGAGCCGACGGCCCCGUGCGCCCCGGGAGCCGACUGUGCCGCCGCCGUCGGGGCUCCCAACGCCGGGGCUCCCAACGCCACGGACCCCGGCUCCCGGGACUGCAAGGGCCUAGAGUGCAGGCUGCCCCCGUUGAGGCUGGCGCGCCAGAAACACCGAGCCGGAGGCCGGGCCCCUGCCCUCCAGCAGCAGGGUGAAGGCUGCGCGGGCGCCAGGCCCGGGCUGGGACCGGGAGAGCCCACCCUGCUCCGGGUGACGGAGCGAGCCGCUCAGUUCAUCGGGGAGGUGUCCCCUGAGCUGGCCCACCCUGCCCCUGAGCUGGGGGGCGCAGGCCUUGGCGUGCAGCUCACCUGCGACAUCAGGCCAGGAGAAAAUGAGGUUCCUUCUGAAGAUGCACUUAUCCUACAACUGCAGCUUGCUAAAGGACAAGAAAAAUUUGUUGAGAUGCUAAAAAGCCAGCAGAAAGUAAUUGCUGAUUUGCAGCACAAACUCACUGAGCAACAGAACAUGUUGAUUAGCCAGCAAACAGAAAUCCUAGAACAACAGAAGAAAAUGUAUGAGCAAAUGAAUCUCAUUAAGGCCCAGUACAGCAUGCUUUUUGACACAGUGAAACAGAUGUCGUUCCAGAAUUUGCAGGAAGACAUCCAGCAUUACUUUCAAACUCAUCUUCAAGGACUUCAAAACCAGGUCAGAAAUCAUCUGCAGAAGUCAUACUCUGUGCAUAAGGUUGGAGUUGACGCAAAAAUGAUUGAUGCUGGAGAAACUUCACUGGACUGUGGCCUUUGUGCAAGUGAUGAAUUUUGCAAUUUCCAGAAGACACCCUCUCAGUGUGAAAAAUGCACUCUUUGCCCUGCUGGCUUUUUUCAAAUGGCUGAAUGUUCUGCAAACACUGACCGAAUCUGUCAGGACAGGGAUGAAUGCGUUGAAUCUCCGAAUAUUUGUGGUGAAAGAAUAAAAUGUCUGAACACCCCAGGUGGCUUCCGAUGUCUGGGCAUUGCGGAGAAGGAGGCCUCUCUAGGGUUUUGCGGGGAUGGUUAUUUCUUCAAUAGGGAAGUGCAAGAAUGCCAGGCUUGUCGGGAGUGUGAAGAUGGAAUGGUGGCUCUCCCCUGCUCUGCAAUCAUUGACACCGUUUGCUCCGCAGCCAGUGAAACCCAGCUCACCAAGUCUUGGGCUGCAGAUCUCCAGCUGCCCUCAGCAAAGUCUGCCUCUGUUCAGGUCUAUCCUGGCUUAAAUCUUAAGUUAAAAGGGAAGAUGAAAUUCGAUAUCGCCUUCGUUGAGGACAACAAGCUCGUCUUCAGGCAGCAUGGGUUACUCUGGGUUGACCUCAACUUCGCUGUGAAGCACAACUGUAGGAACUUUCUCCAGCUCUCCCUCAAGUCAAACAGCAGCGAGCAGGGGUCUGAGCUCAGCGGAGUUCGCAUCGAACAGCCAGAAGGAAAGUAUUUCCAGAGCGCGAGCUUAAGUAGUGCUGCCGAAGUGGAGCCAAGCCAGACCCUGGCCGUGUUCUUGAGAAGCCCGAAUCAGUUCUGCAACCAAAGCAAAGAUUUAAAUGUGUAUGACCUCCACAAAGCGCUCAGCUUGUUCUGGUUGUCCCAUGACACGGGGGCGGUGGCCAUGAGUGCACAGAUGUCCACAGCUAUGCAUUACCAGACCAGCUACCGCCCAACAUUUAAAAUUAAUUCUAUUUCUGACCCGUACAUGAUAAGCUUAUCUCACGAUGGAAGAGGGAUAAGGUUCACCGAAGCUGGUGUCAUUAAGUUUGUUUUCCUCCAGGCACUGUACUCCAUGGGUCACACUUGUGUUCGAGAAGGCUUUUCCUUGAUUUCCUACGUCGGCAGGAAUGGUACCAACGUAGAACUGAUGAACACGUUCAAAUCUGGAGUAAAUUACCGAGAUACUUCUCUGUCUGCCUCUGGGGCAACCAGAGUCCAGGCUGGAGAUCAGAUUAACUUUGAGAUUUUCUCGCCAGCCCAGUGUAGUGUUCGCUACUUUGGGGACAGCUUGGGCGUGAGUACAUUUAGCCUCAUCUGGAUCCCAUCUGCAGUUUCUACUGCUCUUUCAGCCACUGUUUCCACUACAGGCCUGCCUACUGGAGCUGUCAGGAACAAAUUUUUGGAUUUCAAACUUAUCACAUCCAAUGAGAAACAGAUACAGCUAGUUUCUUCUGGACAGUUUGCUCAGAGGUAUUUCAUUUUUACAGAGAAGGGAGUUGCCAAUGUUGCUUUUAACCUAAAGUUGAUCCAUUCAUGUAAUGUGAUCAAGGUUACCUUAAAUCAGUUGAUUCAGGAUCAGACACACCCAGCAGCAAUUGCGCAGCAAAUUGGAGGUCAGAUGCCAGAGGGAAGCAUGUGGACCAGUGUGAGCCUCUGUUCUUCUUUUGAAGUUCACAAUGGUACAAUGAUCUCCAUUUCUCUUGACUGUGUUCGGGGAAGGAUCAAUCAGAUUGCUCAUGAACGUGGAACGGGUAUAUCAAUUUUAUGGAUCUCAUCUUAACUUUUUUAGGGGAUAAGAAAAACUGAUGGGUAGCUCUGAAGGUACUCUGUGGAAAUAGUUUGUGAAAAUGCACAUGGUUUUAUAGAAAUAUCCUUAUUUCAAGAUGUUAGAUUAUAUAUACAAAGAGAAGACUUUCUUUAAAAAAAUUACCAACUUGCCUGUUAAUAUUUACUCCCUCUAAGAAAUGGAGUUAUAGACUCUUGGAUUCAAUUUGGGUUCUAGUUUUGACAGCAUAGUCCUAUUAAAUACAGGAUUUGUGUAAAGAUCAUGAGAAAGUUAAAUGAAUAAAAACAAUUUGCCACAGAAAUUCA